AGAGACAGCAGCCGCCGCGGGAACACGUAUGUCACGAGCGUUAUCCGGAUUUAUUGGGCGUAAAGCGCGUCUAGGUGGUUAUGUAAGUCUGAUGUGAAAAUGCAGGGCUCAACUCUGUAUUGCGUUGGAAACUGUAUAACUAGAGUACUGGAGAGGUAAGCGGAACUACAAGUGUAGAGGUGAAAUUCGUAGAUAUUUGUAGGAAUGCCGAUGGGGAAGCCAGCUUACUGGACAGAUACUGACGCUGAAGCGCGAAAGCGUGGGUAGCAAACAGGAUUAGAUACCCCUGUAGUCCCUGUCUCUUAUACA
rnacentral:rRNA from 1 species